UGCACAUGAAUAUGAAGCUUUUUAAUUCUACGGUCUCUCCUGAAGAGCGGCAGGAUCUAGCGAUGUUUGCACAGUGGGUUCUCAAUGAACGGAAUUGUACUAAUGACUCCAAAAGGGGAUAAGCUACCCCUUCUUAGAAUUUAUACGACCUAAUAUGAUAUUGUAACCUGAUUCUCGCCAUGUUUCUACUAUUGUUAAUGCAAUAUAUGAUUAAUUUUCUGGAAAUUAUUCCGAUCCAUCUUAUCUGGCACAGCAUGCUAUAGGUUAUCCUACUAAUAAUGUAGCCAAUGCCAUAAAUGGUGUGGUUUUCUCUAGAAAUUGACAAGAUAUAUGCUUAAUGGAGAUUAAGUACUGUACCAUUGUAUUUGAGAUUUUGAAUGAUCUUCCAUGACAUCUUCCUUGAUGGAGAUUAAGCACUGUACUGUAUUUGAGAUUCUGAACCAUCUGCUUGCUACCGUUCAGAUAACGUUUUCCUUUCCUAGAAGGUGAUCUGAUUAUAACUUUGACCUCAAGCUGCUCCCUCCCUUGACAGGUGAAUUGUUAUUUAUAUAGGGUUCACAAGCACUCCCUCCGGUCGAUUUUAAUCGACGCGGGGUUAGCUCACUACAUACACGCAGCUAGGCAUGGAGCAACGUCAAUUAAAAGCGACCAGAGGUAGUAAUUUGUUCAACUAUAAUACAGUAGCCAGUGCAUGAGACAGAGAUAAGGCAUCACUGCAUCAGCUACAGUUUUUUUGUGCCGUACAGACGAAUUAAAGGGACCGUGUUUCAAAGUAUUACUCCACAGUGUUCAACUACAGGCUGAUUUCAAGAUGGUUUUUGCCUGCAACAGGACAGGAUCUUUUUCAGCUCCACCAACCUAGAUAGGUGCUUACCCUUCCGCUGUAUGCCAGUGCCUUAUGCUGAAGCCUUUUGUUAUAACAGUACAGCAGUGGUGAGGUUUUUUUUAUUGCCAGCGCUAAAUUGCAGUCUCUUAUAUUGAUAGUUAGUUCUAAAGCGUUUGUGCA